UUUUGUUAGGUUUAGGGUUUAAAUAGGUUAUGAGUGAUUAGCUCCAACUAAAGAUUGCUAACCUGUGAUAUUCAUCAUUAGGAUUUUCAUUAAUGUAUGUCUCUAGUUUAGCUAGCUAGAACUUGCCCUAGGAGUCAUCACUUGCAUCUCACCCUGAAUCCGUCCUAAUUGCGUUAAGAUUGCUAGAGUAAGGCGAAAACUGAUCUAGGAAGCCUAGUGAGCAUAAUUCAACCCGUGCGUAAAGCUUGACUAAGAACGUGUCGAUCGAUAUUCCUAUAGAACAAUCAAUGUCGAUCGAUAUUCCUCUAGAAUCAUCGAUCGACAGUUAUAUCUGGUCAAUAAACAAACCUAAAAGCGAACAUCAGUCAGUUUAUUUAUAAGUGUUUGAGCUCUAUAACAUCAUGCAUACAACUUGUUAGGUAUCUGUAGGAUUAUAAUCCUGAUUACCUGAAUAGAAACCAUAAGUCUAGCUAUUUCAUCUAAAGCACCAAAAACCCAAUCAAAUCAAUCGAGCAACUGCCUUGCUCACAAAUCUGCUUUUUACAUUUAAUCAUAAUAAACCUAGAUUAAUCACUCUGAUUAGAUUUAUUAGGUUCCCUAGCUCCUCGUGGAUUUGAUCCUAAGUACUACAACUAAACCUCUUAUUUGAGAGAGUAAUUCACUCCUUAGGGUAAUUUGAGUGAGAUAAAUCUUAUCCAGGAAAGGAAUUGCCUAAAUACUUGUUUUGGGCUGUUGCAAAGAGUUUCAACAUUGGUGACUAUGAUAGAGCUCUAACAGCACUGAAGGCGUUUGAUGCAGGAGUGUAUGAAGCAGUGUUAUCAAAGAAUCCGAGUAAUUGUAGUCGUGCUUUCUUCAGCUCAACUUUGGUGUGUGAAGAUCUAUCAAACAACUUUUAUGGGUCAUACAACAAUACACUCAACACUGCUCGAGAGAUGCCAUUAGUGGAGAUGUUGGAGAAAGUUCAGCUAUGAUCCGUAUAGAUACAAGAAAGACUAAUGCAUUGAGGUGGCAAGGAAAAUACAGUGAAAAAGUGGUUGAAACAAUCAAGGAAGAGAAGAAGCAUUUGUUCGACUGUCGCAUUGUUCCUAGUGGCAAUGGUGUGUAUCAAGUUAGGGAAAAUAGUCAUACUUAUACAGUGGAUAUGCUUGCAAAGACUUGUGGUUGUAGGAGGUGGAGCAUGACAUGUAUUCCUUGUUGACAUGCUUUGCGGGUUAUUGGGAAAAAGUAGCUUGAUCCUUUACAAUAUGUGUCUCAUUGGUACUUAACAUCGACUUGGAGGCAGCAAUACAGCGAUCCAAUCCGUCCCGUGAAUGGAAUAAACUUCUGGAGAUCAUUUGGGGAGAAAACUAUUGAACCACCACCAAGAGAUGUUCCACUGCCAACAAAAAAAAAAAAAAAAAGAAGAGGAUUAAAGGAAAGAAUGAGUCCCCACAGAAUAAAAAGAAAGGAAAAGGAUUACAGGAGCCUAAGAAAAAGAUGAUUAAGCUCUCUAUGGAAGGAAGGAGUUCACACUGUGGAAGGUGUGAAAUCUCAUGUUACAAUAGCCGUAGUUGUCCAAAUGAAGGCUGUCCGGUUUAUAGGCCAAAGAAACAAGUAUCUAGACCAAGUCAAAGUGAAGGACCAACUCAACCAUCACAAAACUAGGAUUUUGGUUGAAGGUAGUGUGUCCUUUAUUGAUUUUUUUCUCUAUGACUGUUAUUGGUGUUAUUCUUAAAAACUUAUUGGUCUCGUUUUCGAAUGUGUUGUUUCGGGACAGUGUGAAGUUAGAAGAUAUUAAAGUCCCACGUCGAUCAAUAUAAUGAUCUUUGGGCAAUAUAUAUGUGUAUUGGUAAUCUUCUACUCUUGAGCUAGCUUUUAGGUGUGAGUUAGGCCCAUCACUAAUAUGGUAUCAGAACCCAUGGUUAAGCCCAGCAGAUUAUUUCCCAUAUAAACUGUUUCCUACUUAUGUACCCUGUAAAAAUGACCCAUUUUGUUGUGGUAUUUCCGAGAUGUUGGGCUUGGGCUGUUUCCACUGGACCGUUUCCCAUCCACAUCUCGAGAGGGGCUAUUAAAGUCCCACAUCGAUCAAUAUAAUGAUCUUUGGGCAGUAUAUAUGUGUAUGGAUAAUCCUCUACUCUUGAGCUAGGUUUUAGGUGUGAGUUAGGUCCAUCACUAAUAGAAGAGACGUUAGAAGAAUGGUGCUGGACACUGAAGUUUGUUUAUUCUGGUCAAUAUGAAGUUGAAAGAGGCAGUAGAAGAAGAGUAGUGUUUAGGUUAUGUAUGACUUUUAUGUUAUGAUCGGCAAUGUUGUUCUAACUCUUUUGAUAUUGGUGUUUGACUUUGUAAUGCAAUAUUUAUGUUAGUAAAUUGACUAUUUUGUCAAACUCAAACCAAUUUUAUCUAGCAAAAACUCUUAUAACACAGCUUUUUUGUCUUUUAAGAGUCCCAAUACAACUUUUUGUCGAAGAAGGAGACUCCGAUACAUCUUUUUCAAGCUCUCCGCCAAAACGACACCGUUCCCUCUGUAUAGGGUUAAAUAUUCUGUCAACCAAAACGACGUCGUUGCUUACGUGGAUAUCCUUCUUUGUCUGUGAAUAAUCCGUUAGCCAUGUGGCUAAUUGGCAGUUUUUCGCAUAAAAAAUAAACUUUGGAUAUGAAGCUUGAAUUAUUUGAAACUUUAGGUAUGUUUUCGCACCCUCCUAUACUUUGGGUAUGAAUUGAACAUAUGACCAAACUUGGGGCAGGUUAUGGCUGUUUCCCGCCCGGUCUGUGGGCAUUUUUUGUGAAACAUUUGAAUGAAACCUCCAUUUUAAAUUAAACAUUCAUGUAUGUAUAAUGAUGUUUGGCAUACGCAGAUUCUUGUGGCUGCGGCUAUAUUUUUGUUCGUUUGGCAGACGUCAGCUAUCUGCGUCCGAACGCCGCAGCAUCCAGCGUUAAUAAAUUUUGAACGCUGUAAAUUAGCAUCAAGGUCAAAAAUUCUACGGCAGAAAAUAUAACUUACAUAUUUGCCCUUACACUAUCUCAUUAUUAAAAAAAAACUAAAUCUAAUUAGAUGCAGCUUUCUCUUCAGAAUAGACGCAGAUUGUGUUAAAAAAAAAGAAUAGACGGAGAUCUCCAACUCGUCUUCUCCGAAUAGACAACGCAGCCAUGAGCUCUCUCCUUGAGCUUUGUCACCACAGUUUCGUCCUCGAGCUCUGUCUUCUCCGAAUAGACACAGUUUCGACCUCGAGCUCUCUCAUCUCUUUGUCCUCAAGCUCUUCGACGAAACCCAUCUCUUCCUUUUCUCGUCAUUGUUCUCUGUUGAGCUUUCAAAGCAAACAACGGUUCAAGCAAUAGGAGUGGCGUCAAGCUUGGUCGAGACUAUACAAGGAGCUUGCAGGCUAGGAGGUUGCUUCAAGGCUAUGGUUUUGAUGGGUAUAUGAUCAAAGAAGAGACCGGGUGUGCAAUGGUUUGUUGGCAAGAUCGACCUCUAUACUCAGUAUCUGCUUGGAGAUGAAGGAAGUGAAAGAAGAUGAAUGAUAUAAAAAAUUGUGUGUUCUCUUUUGUUUAUUAGAGCAGAUUCCUUUUCAUUUGUUAUACAUAGGGACACAAUGUUUAGUUGUUUUGUGAUUGUGACAAAUGCUUCUUACUGCUUCUGCAUAUUGCUUCUUUGAGUAUUCAGCAGUGUAUGUGUUUGUUGGUUCA